rnacentral:rRNA from 1 species
UUGACACUGAACAUUGAGCCUUGAUGUGUAGGAUAGGUGGGAGGCUUUGAAGUGUGGACGCCAGUCUGCAUGGAGCCGACCUUGAAAUACCACCCUUUAAUGUUUGAUGUUCUAACGUUGACCCGUGAUCCGGGUUGCGGACAGUGUCUGGUGGGUAGUUUGACUGGGGCGGUCUCCUCCUAAAGAGUAACGGAGGAGCACGAAGGUUGGCUAAUCCUGGUCGGACAUCAGGAGGUUAGUGCAAUGGCAUAAGCCAGCUUGACUGCGAGCGUGACGGCGCGAGCAGGUGCGAAAGCAGGUCAUAGUGAUCCGGUGGUUCUGAAUGGAAGGGCCAUCGCUCAACGGAUAAAAGGUACUCCGGGGAUAACAGGCUGAUACCGCCCAAGAGUUCAUAUCGACGGCGGUGUUUGGCACCUCGAUGUCGGCUCAUCACAUCCUGGGGCUGAAGUAGGUCCCAAGGGUAUGGCUGUUCGCCAUUUAAAGUGGUACGCGAGCUGGGUUUAGAACGUCGUGAGACAGUUCGGUCCCUA